UGACCUCAAAUCAGGUAGGACUACCCGCUGAACUUAAGCAUAUCAAUAAGCGGAGGAAAAGAAACUAACAAGGAUUCCCCUAGUAACUGCGAGUGAAGCGGGAAAAGCUCAAAUUUAAAAUCUGGCAGUCUUUGGCUGUCCGAGUUGUAAUCUAGAGAAGCAUUAUCCGCGCUGGACCGUGUACAAGUCUCCUGGAAUGGAGCGUCAUAGAGGGUGAGAAUCCCGUCUUUGACACGGACUGCCAGGGCUUUUGUGAUGUGCUCUCAAAGAGUCGAGUUGUUUGGGAAUGCAGCUCAAAAUGGGUGGUAAAUUCCAUCUAAAGCUAAAUAUUGGCGAGAGACCGAUAGCGAACAAGUACCGUGAGGGAAAGAUGAAAAGAACUUUGGAAAGAGAGUUAAACAGUACGUGAAAUUGCUGAAAGGGAAACGCUUGAAGUCAGUCGCGUUGUCCAGGGAUCAACUCUUGCUUUUGCUUGGUGUAUUUUCUGGUUAACGGGUCAGCAUCAAUUUUGACUAUUGGAAAAAGAUCAAGGGAAUGUGGCAUCUUUAGAUGUGUUAUAGCCCUUGGUUGCAUACAUUAGUUGGGAUUGAGGAACUCAGCACGCCGAAAGGCCGAGUGUUUAACUACGUACGUGCUUAGGAU
rnacentral:rRNA from 1 species